CUUGUGGAUCAGUGGCGAACGGGUGAGUAACACGUGAGCAACCUGCCCCUGACUCUGGGAUAAGCGCUGGAAACGGCGUCUAAUACUGGAUACGAGUAGCGGCCGCAUGGUCAGUUACUGGAAAGAUUUAUUGGUUGGGGAUGGGCUCGCGGCCUAUCAGCUUGUUGGUGAGGUAAUGGCUCACCAAGGCGUCGACGGGUAGCCGGCCUGAGAGGGUGACCGGCCACACUGGGACUGAGACACGGCCCAGACUCCUACGGGAGGCAGCAGUGGGGAAUAUUGCACAAUGGGCGCAAGCCUGAUGCAGCAACGCCGCGUGAGGGAUGACGGCCUUCGGGUUGUAAACCUCUUUUAGCAGGGAAGAAGCGAGAGUGACGGUACCUGCAGAAAAAGCACCGGCUAACUACGUGCCAGCAGCCGCGGUAAUACGUAGGGUGCAAGCGUUAUCCGGAAUUAUUGGGCGUAAAGAGCUCGUAGGCGGUUUGUCGCGUCUGCUGUGAAAUCUGGGGGCUCAACCCCCAGCCUGCAGUGGGUACGGGCAGACUAGAGUGCGGUAGGGGAGAUUGGAAUUCCUGGUGUAGCGGUGGAAUGCGCAGAUAUCAGGAGGAACACCGAUGGCGAAGGCAGAUCUCUGGGCCGUAACUGACGCUGAGGAGCGAAAGGGUGGGGAGCAAACAGGCUUAGAUACCCUGGUAGUCCACCCCGUAAACGUUGGGAACUAGUUGUGGGGUCCAUUCCACGGAUUCCGUGACGCAGCUAACGCAUUAAGUUCCCCGCCUGGGGAGUACGGCCGCAAGGCUAAAACUCAAAGGAAUUGACGGGGACCCGCACAAGCGGCGGAGCAUGCGGAUUAAUUCGAUGCAACGCGAAGAACCUUACCAAGGCUUGACAUAUACGAA
rnacentral:rRNA from 1 species